GAUGAUGCAGACCUCCUGGGGAUGUAUUUGAUCUCCAGCUUCUUGAACUAUUUGAUAGUCGAGAAGUAUCCGGUCAUAUUUUGAUCUCUUUGUGCAUAUCUCGAGAGUUUAUGGGAUUUUUGAGACCCCUAAUAGACUCCUGGGAUUUCAAGAGUCUUGUAGUAUCUUAAAAUUAGGAUUUAGCUUGAUCCGUUAAAAUUUAGAUGUGUACAAAUUCCCCAUACUUCAAGGUUUGUCGGGAUGUAGGCUUGCCGAAACUUGAAGACGAAACUUGAAGUACUCGACCAUCGCAACAAAUGAUUUUGAAACUUGGAGUUUUCAAUUUACAGGAGGAAGAGAUGAAGGGCAGAACUGGUCUCACUAGGCAUGCCAAUUUGUUUGCAAUAAAUUUUCAAGAUAUGAAAAAUAAACUACAAUCACAAAAUAGGAGAAAAAUACAAUUCUGUUUCUCCCUUGAUUCUUCUCUCCUGAUUAUCUCCGUGAUUCCAGGGCUGAAGCAGCGUAUUUCUCGAAUGUAGGAUGAUGUAGACCUCCUGGGGAUGUAUUUGAUCUCCAGCUUCUUGAACUAUUUGAUUGUCAAGAAGUAUCCGGUCAUAUUUUGAUCUCUUUGUGAAUAUCCCAAGAGUUUAUGGGAUUUUUGAAACCCCUCUUCAAGGGAAUAUGUAUCCCUUAAUAUAGGUAUGCGUUAGGGUUUAGGAUAGAGUAAUCUCCAAGAAACCCUAAUAGACUCCUAGACAGAACAUAUAUUUCAUGAAGAGAAUUCUGGAAUUGAACCUAUAAGCAUAAUCUCUAGGCGAUGGAAGGUCUCAUACAAGGUAACUUCAAUUCUAUAGACCUGAUCUCCACACUUUUGGCUAUAUUUAAAAGAUUUUGAUUGAUAAGAAUGUUAACAGCAUGUUUCUUCCAUUUGAUGCAUCAAAAUUAAAGCGAGUGAACAUUGAUAAGUUCUAACAUACUUCAAUGAUCAGUGAAUCAUAUUUUAUUACAUAGUUCACAGAAUCAGAUCCUUAACAUGGAACCUCUUACUCCUAAUUAGUUUUUAAAAAUAAUAGCAUUUUAUGAAUGUGCUUCCUAGAGUGGAGAAUAGCGGGAAGCAGACACUAGACACACCGGGAGAAAGGUCUUGUUACAUGGUUUGAUAACAAUUUUUCUUCUUCUGUGAAUAGGAAAUUCUUAACCGUACACUCUAAUCAAUCAAAUUUCUUUUAUUUUAUUAGAGUCCUGAUGUACAGAUUUUACUAUUCCUAAAGUCUUGACAGAGGAUUACAUGCACUCAAUAGAGAGAGUUCUAAGAAAUCACAGCAGUUUCCAAGUUGUUCUAUUGCUUAGAAGCAUGAAUUCUCAGAGGUGAAACAAGAUAUCACAUUUGACAUGGUGAAUUCCUAUAGUCAUCGUAACCAAGUAUUGAAAGGAUGUCUCUUUAAUAAAUAACAUGAUCAUUUAAUCUAGACAUAUAGUAGCUAAUUACUCUUCCAGUCAUCAUGCUUUCUACGACAUUCGAACUAGGAAACAGUAACUUACAGUCAUAUUUUAAACAAGAAAAGAAUACAUGAACAAUGGUAUUCAAAGCAAAGACCUAACAUCAGUAAACUAAUUUAUUCACAUAGGCAAGCAAUUGACUUCUUAUUUUCUUCAAGCUUUAUGCAAACAUACCACAUAACUUCACAACUUUUACGCAUACAAAAUUUCUUAAUCAUGAUUUUUAUGGAAAUAAACUAUGACUCGCGUUUUCGAACAAAUAGACGAACACUUCAGAUCUUCAAAGAAAAACGAGAAUAAAGAUUUCAGAGUUACUGACCUUUUGUGGUGCAGGAACUGGGGUCGCGUCAAGGUCUGCUAUCUCCGGCCUCUACUCCGCAACCUCGAAUGACUGUCAAACUCCAAGACGAGCACAACGAUGCCUCUGUUAUGGUUAAAACCAAUAGAGGCUGAACGAAAACGAACUCUUAGAGUGCGGUUCUAAUGAAUAAAAAUAAGAGAAGAAUGGCGAGGAAAAGAGUAUAAAAGCAGCGGGUCCAAAGGUGCUGAAAAUAGCCACAAGGUCUGGUAUUUAUAGGUGUAAAAUUAGGGUUCUGGGUUCCUUUGAGAGGGAAUUUGAAAUUCAGAUUUCGAAAGAAGUCAAAUGGAUCCGUUUAAAUUUUAACGGAGAAGCUUUUUGGAUGGAUUCGAUCUUCACGUGAUUCUUCAGUGAUAUGCUACAGGUUACACCCGAAAUGGUGAGAUAUGCUCUGUCACGUAGGGAUUUGAAGGUCAAAGCUUGGCUAAAAAUGGAGGAAAGUGCCAAGAGAAAG
rnacentral:lncRNA from 1 species